CUACGUGCCAGCAGCCGCGGUAAUACGGAAGGUCCAGGCGUUAUCCGGAUUUAUUGGGUUUAAAGGGAGCGUAGGCUGGAGAUUAAGUGUGUUGUGAAAUGUAGACGCUCAACGUCUGAAUUGCAGCGCAUACUGGUUUCCUUGAGUACGCACAACGUUGGCGGAAUUCGUCGUGUAGCGGUGAAAUGCUUAGAUAUGACGAAGAACUCCGAUUGCGAAGGCAGCUGACGGGAGCGCAACUGACGCUGGAGCUCGAAGGUGCGGGUAUCGAACAGGAUUAGAUACCCUGGUAGUCCGCACAGUAAACGAUGGAUGCCCGCUGUUGGUACCUAGUAUCAGCGGCUAAGCGAAAGCAUUAAGCAUCCCACCUGGGGAGUACGACCGCAAGGUUGAAACUCAAAGGAAUUGACGGGGGCCCGCACAAGCGGUGGAGUAUGUGGUUUAAUUCGACGCAACGCGAAGAACCUUACCAGGUCUUGACAU
rnacentral:rRNA from 1 species